UUGUUUAUAUAGCUGUGUAGGCAUGGUUUUGGUUUCAUGAGUAGUAGAUAAUGAAGUAGGCAGUGACAUCAAGAGGACUGGACUUCGGGUUUGAUAAAAUAACAUGGAACCUUUUUGAUGCAGAACUUACUCAGAAACAUGCGUGCUAUGUUCCUGUUUGUCAACUUCUGUCUGCAAUUGCAUUAAUAAAGGUUUUUGAAUGAUUUAAUUAAAGAUAUUGUCAUAAUGCUAAUUUCACCGAUGAGCCAAUGAUUGACAAAGAACAAUGAAACAAACCCCAACAGAAGCAUGAGGGAAGUUCCUGCCUGAUCAAAAGAGGACAAGAACCCGCUCAGACCAGACCCUUACUGUGUGCUGCCCAGGAGGAGACACAUCAUCCAUGAAAAAUUGAGGGACGGCACCUGAUUUCCAUUGGGUCUGCUGGAUUGUCAGGAUUUCUCCCUAAGGAUUAGCCCUCUGAUUCCCUGACCUGCAAUGCCGCAGUGAGAUUGUCAAGAUGAUAGGGGAGUAUUUUUUUUUGGGGGGGGGGGGGGAAAUGGUUUCAACUGUGUGUUGUUAUUCUCUAAGACAUUGGUUCUAGAAGUCUGGAUUUCCUGAAUUACAAAUGCCCUAAACUAAACUGUUGUUCUGGUCUGUCCUCUCUCUCUCUCUCUCUCUCUCUCUCUCUCUCUCUCUCUCUCUCUCUCUCUCUCUCUCGGUAAUGGCGAAGAUCGUAUCUAGAUGCAUGGAAGAUCAUUUGGCCGAUGAACAGUGUGAACCUCAACACCCCCUCUAACUGGCUGAAAAUGACGAAAUGGCGUUCAGUAUGGUCCUUCACCAUUUCUAGUCCGAGUCCGAGCCAGCAACCUGUACACAGCAGUUGAAACUAUCAACUGCCUUUUCUCUCAGGAGUGUGACAUGGUGUCCAUGUGGAGUGAGCAUGAAGAAAGAUCCAGUCCAAAAUUCUCUCAUGCUGCUGGUGUACUGGUAGGAAAAUGGACAAAGACAUAAUGACUGUAAAGGACAGUGGCGGCUCAAGUGAGAGACAUCAAGGGCCAUCCAUUUUGAUCAUGUUCCAUUAAAAGGAUGAACUGAAACCGCUAUCUGAAGAAGAACAUGAACUGCCAGGAAAGGAGGAGUGCCGUGAAGGGGGGUGGUCAACCGUGCCCGUAAUUGAUUUAAGCUUGUCCAAAAUUGUUUAUUUGGGGUAUCAGGUUGAUUGUGGAGGUCUGCACACUGCAAAAUGUAUAGUAAUUUAGAAUAAGAAUGCAUUGAGAUAUCAAUUUGUCAUUACCACAAGUAAUUACCACAAAUUAAAGUGAUAGAACCAA